AGUGAACGCUGGCGGUAGGCCUAACACAUGCAAGUCGAACGGCAGCACAGGAGAGCUUGCUCUCUGGGUGGCGAGUGGCGGACGGGUGAGGAAUACAUCGGAAUCUACCUUUUCGUGGGGGAUAACGUAGGGAAACUUACGCUAAUACCGCAUACGACCUACGGGUGAAAGUGGGGGACCGCAAGGCCUCACGCGAUUAGAUGAGCCGAUGUCCGAUUAGCUAGUUGGCGGGGUAAUGGCCCACCAAGGCGACGAUCGGUAGCUGGUCUGAGAGGAUGAUCAGCCACACUGGAACUGAGACACGGUCCAGACUCCUACGGGAGGCAGCAGUGGGGAAUAUUGGACAAUGGGCGCAAGCCUGAUCCAGCCAUACCGCGUGGGUGAAGAAGGCCUUCGGGUUGUAAAGCCCUUUUGUUUGGAAAGAAAUCCUAUCGGUUAAUAACCGGUGGGGAUGACGGUACCCAAAGAAUAAGCACCGGCUAACUUCGUGCCAGCCGCCGCCGUAAGAC
rnacentral:rRNA from 1 species